GAUUAACGCUGGCGGCGUGCAUAACACAUGCAAGUCGAACGAUGAAACUUAAAUGAUUUCUUCGGAAUGAACUUAAGUGGAUUAGUGGCGGACGGGUGAGUAACGCGUGAGUAACCUGCCUUACACAAGGGGGUAGCCGUUGGAAACGACGAAUAAUACCCUAUGAAACUAUCACUUCGCAUGAAGCGAUAGUCAAAGUGUUAGCGGUGUAAGAUGGACUUGCGUCUGAUUAGCUAGUUGGUGAGAAAAAAGCCCACCAAGGCAACGAUCAGUAGCCGGCUGGAGAGAGUGGACGGCCACAUUGGGACUGGGACACGGCCCAGACUCCUACGGGAGGCAGCAGGGGGGAAUUUGGCACAAUGGGGGGAACCCUGAGGCAGCGACGCCGCGUGAUUGAGAAGGCCUUCGGGUUGUAAAAAUCUUUUGUAUAGGAAGAAAAUGACGGUACUAGAAGAAUAAGGUCCGGCUAAUUACGUG
rnacentral:rRNA from 1 species